GGAGUCGGCCAAGGCAAUCGCUGCUUGCUUAUGCAAGGGGAGGAAAGUCCGGGCUCCAAAGGGCAGGGUGCCAGGUAACGCCUGGGCGGCGAAAGCCGACGACUAGUGCAACAGAGAGUAAACCGCCGAUGACUCGCUUGCGAGCACAGGUAAGGGUGAAAGGGUGCGGUAAGAGCGCACCGCGCAACUGGUAACAGUUUGUGGCACGGUAAACUCCACUCGGAGCAAGACCAAAUAGGGAUCCUCGUUGUGGCCCGCAUCGGAUCCGGGUAGGUUGCUAGAGGCUGCAGGUGACUGUAGUCGUAGAGGAAUGAUUGCCCACGACAAAACCCGGCUUACUGGCCGACUCCAACU
rnacentral:RNase_P_RNA from 1 species